rnacentral:rRNA from 1 species
UACAGAGGGUGCGAGCGUUGUUCGGAAUUAUUGGGCGUAAAGGGCGCGUAGGCGGUGCGGUAAGUCACCUGUGAAAUCUCCUGGCUCAACUGGGAGCUUGCAGGCGAAACUGCCGUGCUGGAGUGUGGGAGAGGUGCGUGGAAUUCCCGGUGUAGCGGUGAAAUGCGUAGAUAUCUGGAGGAACACCGGUGGCGAAGGCGGCAUCCUGGACCGGCAUUGACGCUGAGGCGCGAAAGCCAGGGGAGCAAACGGGAUUAAGAAACCCGG